rnacentral:rRNA from 1 species
AUUGAACGCUGGCGGCAGGCCUAACACAUGCAAGUCGAGCGCGAAAGUUCUUCGGAACGAGUAGAGCGGCGGACGGGUGAGUAACGCGUGGGAAAUUGCCCAGUAGUGGGGGACAACAUUCGGAAACGGAUGCUAAUACCGCAUACGCCCUACGGGGGAAAGCAGGGGAUCUUCAGACCUUGCGCUAUUGGAUAUGCCCGCGUCGGAUUAGCUAGUUGGUGAGGUAAUGGCUCACCAAGGCAACGAUCCGUAGCUGGUCUGAGAGGAUGAUCAGCCACACUGGGACUGAGACACGGCCCAGACUCCUACGGGAGGCAGCAGUGGGGAAUAUUGGACAAUGGGCGCAAGCCUGAUCCAGCCAUGCCGCGUGUGUGAAGAAGGCCCUAGGGUUGUAAAGCACUUUCAGCAGGGAGGAAGGCCUUAAAGUUAAUACCUUUGAGGAUUGACGUUACCUGCAGAAGAAGCACCGGCUAACUCCG